UGGGAAUGGUGCUCCUGGAGGCCGUGCAGUCCCGCUCCGCUUCAAAUGGAUAAUUAAAUGUAAAAUCAUGAUUGCUUUUUACAAAUUUGGAUCCAUCCCAAAUCCAUUGUUCUUCAAAGGCAGGAAAAGGUUGAAUGGGCUUUCCUCUGCUAUACCCUUUCAUCAUGGUGUUUCUGCCUUGGACCCAGCUGACCACGGACUGAACCCUCUAAAA